rnacentral:rRNA from 1 species
UGAACUGGGNGACUAGAGUGUGUCAGAGGGAGGUAGAAUUCCACGUGCAGCAGUGAAAUGCGUAGAGAUGUGGAGGAAUACCGAUGGCGAAGGCAGCCUCCUGGGAUAACACUGACGUUCAUGCCCGAAAGCGUGGGUAGCAAACAGGAUUAGAUACCCUGGUAGUCCACGCCCUAAACGAUGUCGAUUAGCUGUUGGGCAGCAUGACUGCUUAGUAGCGAAGCUAACGCGUGAAAUCGACCGCCUGGGGAGUACGGUCGCAAGAUUAAAACUCAAAGGAAUUGACGGGGACCCGCACAAGCGGUGGAUGAUGUGGAUUAAUUCGAUGCAACGCGAAGAGCCUUACCUGGUCUUGACAUGUACGGAACCCUCCAGAGACGGAGGGGUGCCUUCGGGAGCCGUAACACAGGUGCUGCAUGGCUGUCGUCAGCUCGUGUCGUGAGAUGUUGGGUUAAGUCCCGCAACGAGCGCAACCCUUGUCAUUAGUUGCCAUCAUUAAGUUGGGCACUCUAAUGAGACUGCCGGUGACAAGCCGGAGGAAGGUGGGGAUGACGUCAAGUCCUCAUGGCCCUUAUGACCAGGGCUUCACACGUCAUACAAUGGUCGGUACAGAGGGUAGCCAAGCCGCGAGGUGGAGCCAAUCUCACAAAACCGAUCGUAGUCCGGAUUGCACUCUGCAACUCGAGUGCAUGAAGUCGGAAUCGCUAGUAAUCGCAGGUCAGCAUACUGCGGUGAAUACGUUCCCGGGUCUUGUACACACCGCCCGUCACACCAUGGGAGUGGGGGAUACCAGAAGUA